AACGAACGCUGGCGGCAGGCCUAACACAUGCAAGUCGAGCGCCCAGCAAUGGGAGCGGCGCACGGGUGAGUAACACGUGGGAAUAUGCCUCGGGAUCGGGAAUAACGGCGGGAAACUGCCGCUAAUGCCCGGUACGCCUUGAGAGGGAAAGGAGCAAUCCGUCCUGAGAGUAGCCCGCGUUGGAUUAGCUAGUUGGUGGGGUAACGGCCCACCAAGGCUACGAGCCAUACCUGGUCUGAGAGGAUGAUCCGCCACACUGGGACUGAGGCACGGCCCAGACUCCUACGGGAGGCAGCAGUGGGGAGUAUUGGACAAUGGGGGAAACCCUGAUCCAGCCAUGCCGCGUGAGUGAAGAAGGCAUUAGGGUUGUAAAGCUCUUUCGCACGCGACGAUGAUGACGGUAGCGUGAGAAGAAGCCCCGGCUAACUUCGUGCCAGCCGCCGCCGUAACAC
rnacentral:rRNA from 1 species